UGGCUCAGUCAGAAGAGCAUGUGACUCUUGAUCCCAGGGUUGUGGGUUCAAGCCCCAC
rnacentral:tRNA from 1 species